rnacentral:rRNA from 1 species
GAUGAACGCUGGCGGCGUGCCUAAUACAUGCAAGUCGAGCGAACAGACGAGGAGUUUGCUCCUUGGACGUUAGCGGCGGGGGGGAGAGUAACAUGUGUAUAAUGUACCUAUAAGACGGGGAAAACUUGGGAAAACCGGAUAAAAUAGCGGAGAAUAUAUUGAACCACAUGGUUCAAUAGUAAGAGACGGCUGUGCUGGCACUAAUAGAUGGAUCCGCGCCGCAUUAGCUAGUUGGGAAGGUAACGGCUUACCAAGGCAACACGGCGUAGCCGACCGAAGGGGGUGAUCGCCCCCCUGGGAACUGGGCCACGGUCCAUACUCCUACGGGAGGCACCAGAAGGGAAUCUUCGGCAAUGGGCGAAAGCCUGACGGAGCAACCCCGCGUGAGUGAUGAAGUUCUUCGGUUCGUAAACCUCUGUUUUUAGGGAAAAACAGAUGUGUAAGUAACUGUGCACGUCUUGACGGUACCUAAUCAGAAAGCCACGGCUAACUACGUG